AAGAAAUAACAUAAAGACUCAAAA
rnacentral:snRNA from 1 species